GCCCCUGUAGCUCAGCUGGACAGAGCAGCGGUUUCCUAAACCGUUGGUCGGGGGUUCGAGUCCCUCCAGGGGUA
rnacentral:tRNA from 1 species